GUCAAUAUGUCCGAGUGGUUAAGGAGAUAGACUCUAAAUCUAUUGGGCUUUGACU
rfam:Ipomoea nil DNA, scaffold: scaffold3065, cultivar: Tokyo-kokei standard.